GCCAGACUCCUACGGGAGGCAGCAGUGGGGAAUAUUGCACAAUGGGGGAAACCCUGAUGCAGCGACGCCGCGUGAGUGAAGAAGUAAUUCGUUAUGUAAAGCUCUAUCAGCAGGGAAGAAAAUGACGGUACCUGAGUAAGAAGCCCCGGCUAACUACGUGCCAGCAGCCGCGGUAAUACGUAGGGGGCAAGCGUUAUCCGGAUUUACUGGGUGUAAAGGGAGCGUAGACGGUGAUGCAAGUCAGAAGUGAAAUCCCAAGGCUCAACCUUGGAACUGCAUUUGAAACUGUUGGUCUUGAGUAUCGGAGAGGCAGGCGGAAUUCCUAGUGUAGCGGUGAAAUGCGUAGAUAUUAGGAGGAACACCAGUGGCGAAGGCGGUCUGCUGGACAGCAACUAACGCUGAGGCGCGAAAGCGUGGGGAGCAAACAGGAUUAGAUACCCCCGUA
rnacentral:rRNA from 1 species